ensembl:lncRNA
AUAGAAUAUGGAUGAUUAUUAAGCAGAUUGUUUGUGACUGACUCUAAAUCUGAUCCUAAACCAUCAAAUGUUCCAUUUGGAGACUCCUACCAAUGUGUUUCUCCAUCUUUUGUGUUUCUCUUUUUUCUUCAUGCUGUGUAAAAUUUGAAUAAACUUUUCUUUAUAAUAUGUGGAAUUUUAGUUGCACUUAUGAUUUCUCAUGAUCAUCAUUAUAUGGGAAUGUGACAAUUAAGUGAUUUCAUUUGAUUUGACCAUAAAGGCUUCUACUGUAAGUUAAAGGCUCAUAUUCUAACAGCAAGUCUUAUUUUACAUGAGUCUGCCCACCAUUGCUCAGAUAUUUUACCUUUAGCAGAAGUACAAUUCUACUAUUUACUUAUAUUCCAUUUUUUUUAUUUUGGUUAAAUAUUUGUGUAGCAGGGUGAAGUGUUACCCGUAUUGAUUAUUGGCCAGUGUCAUGUGAAAACGUUGAGCCUAUCAGCAGUCUGCUGUCACGAUAUAAAAAGAGGAAGUUUUUGUCACUUGGGAUGUGUUGUCACCCGUACCGCCCCUUUACGGAAGUUGGCAUUUAUGAAUGGGAGAGGAUCUGGAGGUCCGCCUCUGCGUUCUGCUGCUGUGCGUAGGCUGCCCCUGGCUUUGAGCUCGUCAAUGAACAAACCACUGCAUGUUAUCGUCAGCGACUGUGCAUAGUACCGUGUUAUGAACAUCUUCCGGUAUGUAUGAGAGUCAUUCGUAUGGUUUGCCAUUUUCUAUUUGUUGUUUUAUUAGUAAUUGUUCUGACUCAUGUUCGACAGAUUGAGUGACAGGAUCAAAGGUUUCACCUCUAUAUUAUGAGAGGAGAUGCGUGUCUGUUGACGUAACACACUGCUGCCUUGCCUGGGCUUAUUCCGGUCGUCUUUUUGUUGGAGUGAACUUUUUUUUAGCAAGCCUGGACGAUUCCUCGCUGAAGAGUGAGAGGAAAGUAAGAGCGUGGCUGUUUCUCGCUUGCCCUGUGAGUGUGCGGGCGAUCGUGGCCUCGCUUAUUUUGUUUGAGGAUCACAGCAGGCCAUCUCCCUCCCUUAAGCUUUCUUGUGUAUUUGUAUUAUUUGGCAUUCAUUAUUUUUUAUUGAAGUGUUGUAAAGUGUUUAUUUUUCUUUUCUUUUUUUUUGACACGUGAAUAUUUAGCCCUUGAUGGUAAUGUAUUGAUGAUUUUAAAUUUUGUAUUUGAAUAAAGCUGCUUCAUCUUUUGUACUCCCA